rnacentral:rRNA from 1 species
UACGUAGGGUCCGAGCGUUGUCCGGAAUUAUUGGGCGUAAAGGGCUCGUAGGCGGUUUGUCGCGUCGGGAGUGAAAACACCGGGCUUAACUCGGUGCUUGCUUUCGAUACGGGCAGACUGGAGGUAUGCAGGGGAGAACGGAAUUCCUGGUGUAGCGGUGAAAUGCGCAGAUAUCAGGAGGAACACCGGUGGCGAAGGCGGGUCUCUGGGCAACAACUGACGCUGAGGAGCGAAAGCGUGGGGAGCGAACAGG